CAGUAGCCGCGGUAAUACGAAGGGGGCUAGCGUUGUUCGGAUUUACUGGGCGUAAAGGGCGCGUAGGCGGACUGAUAAGUCAGGGGUGAAAUCCCAAGGCUCAACCUUGGAACUGCCUUUGAUACUGUUUGUCUUGAGUUCGAGAGAGGUAAGUGGAACUGCGAGUGUAGAGGCGAAAUUCGUAGAUAUUCGCAAGAACACCAGUGGCGAAGGCGGCUUACUGGCUCGAAACUGACGCUGAGGCGCGAAAGCGUGGGGAGCAAACAGGAUUAGAUACCCCGGUAGUCCCUGUCUCUUAUAC
rnacentral:rRNA from 1 species